GGAAGUUUUUAGUUGUCGCUGCUAACGAUGAUUGUGAAUCUUUGUUUGAUUCGACUUUCU
rnacentral:tRNA from 1 species